GGGGGGGGGUGGGGGGGUGGUGGGCGGGUGCGGGUGGCGCGGGCAGCUUCGGGUGCCAGCGGCGGACGGGUGCGGACCGCGUGGGAGCGUGUCCGGAGGUGGGGGACCACCCUGGGAAACCGGGGCUAGUACCGCAUAUGGCCCGCGGGCCAAAGCCGACAGGCGCCUCCGGGGCGGCCUGCGUCCGAUUAGGUAGUUGGCGGGAUAACGGCCCACCAAGCCCGCGAUCGGGAGCCGGUCUGAGAGGACGAGCGGCCACACUGGGACUGAGACACGGCCCAGACUCCUACGGGAGGCAGCAGUGGGGAAUAUUGGGCAAUGGGCGCAAGCCUGACACAGCAAUGCCGCGUGGGUGAAGAAGGUCUUCGGAUUGUAAAGCCCUUUCGGCGGGGACGAUGGUGACGGUACCCGCAGAAGAAGCCCCGGCCAACUUCGUG
rnacentral:rRNA from 1 species